rnacentral:tRNA from 1 species
AUUUAGAUAGCUUAAUUUAUAGAGCAUAACGUUGAAGGUGUUAAGGUGAUAUUUUUAUCUUUAGAUA